rnacentral:rRNA from 1 species
AUACGAAAGGUGCAAGCGUUGUUCGGAUUUACUGGGCGUAAAGAGAGUGUAGGUUGUUUAUUAAGUCGGAUGUGAAAUCCCGGGGCUCAACCUCGGAACUGCAUUCGAUACUGGUAGGCUAGAGUUUGGGAGGGGUUAGCGGAAUUCCGUGUGUAGCAGUGAAAUGCGUAGAUAUACGGAGGAACACCUGAGGCGAAGGCGGCUUACUGGACCAAUACUGACACUGAGACUCGAAAGCGUGGGUAGCAAACAGGAUUAGAAACCCCGGUAGUCC